CCUACGGGAGGCAGCAGUGAGGGAUAUUGGUCAAUGGGGGAAACCCUGAACCAGCGACGCCGCGUGAGGGAAGACGGUUUUCGGAUUGUAAACCUCUGUCCUCUGUGAAGAUAAUGACGGUAGCUGAGGAGGAAGCUCCGGCUAACUACGUGCCAGCAGCCGCGGUAAUACGUAGGGAGCAAGCGUUGUCCGGAUUUACUGGGUGUAAAGGGUGCGUAGGCGGCCCUGCAAGUCAGAAGUGAAAUCCCGGGGCUUAACCCGUGAACUGCUUUUGAAACUGUAAGGCUUGAGUGAAGUAGAGGUAAGUGGAAUUCCCGGUGUAGCGGUGAAAUGCGUAGAGAUCAGGAGGAACACCAGUGGCGAAGGCGGCCUGCUGGGCUGUAACUGACGUUGAAGCUCGAAAGCGUGGGUAGCAAACAGGAUUAGAUACCCUUGUAGUC
rnacentral:rRNA from 1 species